CUUGAUGUUCAACAGGUUUCUUUGGUGAUCAAUUAUGACCUACCAAACAAUCGAGAACUUUACAUCCAUCGGAUUGGUCGUUCAGGUCGUUUUGGACGCAAGGGUGUCGCGAUAAAUUUUGUCAAAAGUGAUGAUAUCAAGAUUUUAAGAGAUAUAGAGCAGUACUACAGUACCCAGAUCGAUGAAAUGCCAAUGAAUGUUGCUGAU
rnacentral:misc_RNA from 1 species